CUGCUUUAUGGUGGUCAGCGAGUCGCGGAUCAGUUUGCAGAUCAGGCAGUUGCGGGUCAGGACACCACAAAGCUGAAGGAGACCGAGAAACCGGGACUGUGGCUUUGGUUGUUAAACUUUGCCCUAUGCUGUUGAGGAGCUGAACUAAGCCUCAAAACACACAAAUCGUCGGCCCCCUUAGAAUUCCAGUGCAGGAUUGCGAUACAAAGAAAGAGUAGUUGAAGUGAGGGAUGGAUUUAAAUUGCACGCCACCCCAAUAAAUUCCCCAAUAAAUAUUUAAAAAGCCGCUUUUAAGCUAAAAAAUAAAAUCAAACAAUUGUGCAGA